rnacentral:rRNA from 1 species
AAUAGAUACCCGGGUAGUCCACGCCGUAAACGAUGAAUACUAGGUGUAGGAGGUAUCGACCCCUUCUGUGCCGCAGUUAACACAAUAAGUAUUCCGCCUGGGGAGUACGAUCGCAAGAUUAAAACUCAAAGGAAUUGACGGGGGCCCGCACAAGCAGCGGAGCAUGUGGUUUAAUUCGAAGCAACGCGAAGAACCUUACCUAGACUUGACAUCUCCUGAAUUACCCUUAAUCGGGGAAGCCCUUCGGGGCAGGAAGACAGGUGGUGCAUGGUUGUCGUCAGCUCGUGUCGUGAGAUGUUGGGUUAAGUCCCGCAACGAGCGCAACCCUUAUCAUUAGUUGCUACCAUUAAGUUGAGCACUCUAGUGAGACUGCCACGGUUAACGUGGAGGAAGGUGGGGAUGACGUCAAAUCAUCAUGCCCCUUAUGUCUAGGGCUACACACGUGCUACAAUGGUGAGUACAAAGAGAUGCAAUACCGCGAGGUGGAGCCAAACUCAAAAACUCAUCCCAGUUCGGAUUGUAGGCUGAAACUCGCCUACA